UCUUAUUCCCCAACCAGAGAUGGAGCCCCAACUGCCUCCUUUCUUUGGGAGCUCAGAGUCUUAGCUACUGGAUCACCAGGAAAGUCCAGGGCAUAUGUUCUUAUUUCUCUUGGAUUAAUACUAAGAAGUGGAACUGUUGGAUCAUAUGGCAGAUGCAGCACUGACCGGAGUGGAAUUUUGUUAAAGCCCUCGGGAUAGGUAUUGCCUUGCUGGUCCUGGCUCUGCCAACUCAAACUGUUGGAUCACAUGUAUUGCAGGAAAUUCCAAGAUAUUCCUCGUGUGCCGCGACUACUGAGCCAGUGAGCCACAGUUACUUAAGCCCACGCACCUAGAGCUUGUGCUCCACCAGAGAAGCCACUGCAAUGAGAAGCCCUGGCAUUGCAGCUUGAGAGUAGCUCCCACUUUCCACAAUCAGAGGAAGACCUAGUGCAGCAACGAAGACCCAGUGCAGCCAAAAAUAAAAAUAAAUACAUUUUCAAAAGGUCG
ensembl:lncRNA